AUGUUCUCUGUCUCUCUACUGCUGCUGCUGGCAGCUGCUUCCUGUGUGCAUGGUCUUGAACUCAGCCAGCCAGGGUCAAUGGUUGUGGAGCCAGGAGAGAUUCUGACGCUCACCUGUAAGGUGUCUGGCUAUUCUGUCAGUGAUAAUAGCUACGCCACAGCUUGGAUCCGACAACCUGCAGGAAAGCAAAUGGAAUGGAUUUUUCAUAUGUGGGGCAGUGGAAGCUUCUAUGAAAAUAACAAUCUGAAGAACAAGUUCAGCUACAGUAGAGACACCUCCAGCAACACUGUGACUCUAAAAGGACAGAAUCUGCAGACUGAAGACACAGCUGUUUAUUACUGUGCUCGAGAGCCACAGUGGCAGAGGAGACUGCAGAGCUGUACAAAAACGCAUCAACUUUGA